GUAUGAAAAAUGGUGAAAGAAUUUUGAUUUAAAUAUGUUCAGUGUGUUCAUAUAGUGUUCACAUAGUAGUCUAGGGAGUCAAUCGCCUAGGACAUGUAGUCCACAAGAUGUCAUUUUACCAAAAUCGUCUAUUAGACAAUUGCAUCUAUGCAUUAGGCGUGUCUAAGUACUCAGCCUGUCACUAGAAGUUGCUUAGGAUCCCCUAAUCUCAAACCCUCUCCUAUUUGCCAAAAAUCUUAUGUGUGUCAAUCAAUCCCUCAGCCUUUCUAUCUUCUCAAGUCGUUGUCUCUCCUCUUAUCGAAAACCUAAAUCUCUAAUUUCACCGCUCCUCCUAUUCCUAUCCGUUGUUGACUAACACUUUUCUAAAAUAUCUUGGUAUUCAAAUAGAUGUAAAUCUCUUUCAAAUAUCUCCAUACUAACCACAUUAAAUGGACGAGACUGAUCAAUCUCCCAUGACUAACUUUUUCUUUUAUUUAAAUUUGCUUCUCUUCUUAUCUUCUCAACUCAUUCUCUCCAAACCUUAAUUCCUCUCUCAUUGUCAUGUCCUCUCAACUCCUUGAGUCUCCAAACCUUCAAUGUUCCAAACCAAUGAAGCCCUCUUCCAAACCUCUUGACCGUGAUUGUCAUCUCAUUCGAUCACCAAAACAAGAUGAACAUGAUAAUCCAACACCCAUUUCCUCCUCCACUUUACCACCACCCCUUCUCACCUGACCUCCUCACCUUCAACCUCUUCUCUUUGGCUCCAUCUGACCUUUCCAUUUCUUGUUUCCAUUGCUCUAUCUACUUCCUCCUCCAUUUGUGUGGUUGAGUCGUCCUUUCUGACUCUCUUCUUCUCCCUCCACUAGAACCAUCAAUGUCGGGCUGUGAGGUCUCUUCCCUU
rnacentral:lncRNA from 1 species